rnacentral:rRNA from 1 species
UGCCAGCCGCCGCGGUAAUACGGAAGGUCCGAGCGUUAAUCGGAAUUACUGGGCGUAAAGCGUGCGCAGGCGGUUACGUAAGUCAGAUGUGAAAGCCCCGGGCUCAACCUGGGAAAGUCAUUUGAAACUGUGUAACUAGAGUCUUGUAGAGGGGGGUAGAAUUUCAGGUGUAGCGGUGAAAUGCGUAGAGAUCUGAAGGAAUACCAGUGGCGAAGGCGGCCCCCUGGACAAAGACUGACGCUCAUGCACGAAAGCGUGGGGAGCAAACAGGAUUAGAUA